rnacentral:rRNA from 1 species
AUACGGAGGGGGCUAGCGUUGUUCGGAAUUACUGGGCGUAAAGCGUACGUAGGCGGACUGAUCAGUUGGGGGUGAAAUCCCAGGGCUUAACCCUGGGACUGCCUUCAAUACUGUCAGUCUUGAGUUUGGGAGAGGUGAGUGGAAUUCCUAGUGUAGAGGUGAAAUUCAUAGAUAUUAGGAGGAACACCAGUGGCGAAGGCGGCUCACUGGCCCAUUACUGACGCUGAGGUACGAAAGCGUGGGGAGCAAACAGGAUUAGAAACCCCAGUAGUCC